AUUGAACGCUGGCGGAAUGCUUUACACAUGCAAGUCGAACGGCAGCACGGACUUCGGUCUGGUGGCGAGUGGCGAACGGGUGAGUAAUACAUCGGAACGUGCCCGGUCGUGGGGGAUAACGUAGCGAAAGCUACGCUAAUACCGCAUACGAUCUAAGGAUGAAAGCGGGGGAUCGCAAGACCUCGCGCGAUUGGAGCGGCCGAUGGCAGAUUAGGUAGUUGGUAGGGUAAAGGCCUACCAAGCCGACGAUCUGUAGCUGGUCUGAGAGGAUGAGCAGCCACACUGGGACUGAGACACGGCCCAGACUCCUACGGGAGGCAGCAGUGGGGAAUGUUGGACAGUGGGCGCAAGCCUGAUCCAGCCAUUCCGCGUGCAGGAUGAAGGCCUUCGGGUUGUAAACUGCUUUUGUACAGAACGAAAAGGCUCUGGUUAAUACCCGGGGCUCAUGACGGUACUGUAAGAAUAAGCACCGGCUAACUACGUGCCAGCCGCCGCCGUAA
rnacentral:rRNA from 1 species